rnacentral:rRNA from 1 species
UACGUAGGGUGCAAGCGUUGUCCGGAAUUAUUGGGCGUAAAGAGCUCGUAGGCGGUUUGUUGCGUCGGCUGUGAAAAUCCCGAGGCUCAACCUCGGGUCUGCAGUCGAUACGAGCAAACUAGAGUGUUGCAGGGGGAGACUGGAAUUCCUGGUGUAGCGGUGAAAUGCGCAGAUAUCAGGAGGAACACCGGUGGCGAAGGCGGGGUCUCUGGGGCAACAACUGACGCUGAGGAGCGAAAGCGUGGGGGAGCGAACAGG